CGGCUUUCUUAGAAGCAACGGCUGCAGAUAAAACUACGGUGUCGCCGUAGCGAACCAAGACAGCGCCGUUAGCUUGUUUGGCUAAUUCGCCAAUUUCCACAGAUAGCGGACGGCCCGCUAAAGUUGUAGAAAAUACAUGUUUGUUUGACAUGGAAUGUCCUCCUUAUAAAUUGGGAUUAGCUC
rnacentral:ncRNA from 1 species